GAUGAACGCUGUCGGCGUGCCUAAUACAUGCAAGUCGAGCGAACAGACGAGGAGCUUGCUCCUCUGACGUUAGCGGCGGACGGGUGAGUAACACGUGGAUAACCUACCUAUAAGACUGGGAUAACUUCGGGAAACCGGAGCUAAUACCGGAUAAUAUAUUGAACCGCAUGGUUCAAUAGUGAAAGACGGUUUUGCUGUCACUUAUAGAUGGAUCCGCGCCGCAUUAGCUAGUUGGUAAGGUAACGGCUUACCAAGGCAACGAUGCGUAGCCGACCUGAGAGGGUGAUCGGCCACACUGGAACUGAGACACGGUCCAGACUCCUACGGGAGGCAGCAGUAGGGAAUCUUCCGCAAUGGGCGAAAGCUUGACGGAGCAACGCCGCGUGAGUGAUGAAGGUCUUCGGAUCGUAAAACUCUGUUAUUAGGGAAGAACAAAUGUGUAAGUAACUAUGCACGUCUUGACGGUACCUAAUCAGAAAGCCACGGCUAACUACGUG
rnacentral:rRNA from 1 species